rnacentral:SRP_RNA from 1 species
GCCAGGUGUGGUGGCUCACGCCUGUAAUCCCAGCACUUUGGGAGGCCGAGGCGGGUGGAUCACCUGAGGUCAGGAGUUCCGCACCAGCCUGACCAACAUGGAGAAACCCUGUCUCUA